rnacentral:lncRNA from 1 species
AGGAUGCGGCUUAUUUUAAAAUUACCUCUUCAUUCAUGCUCCAUGAAAGCACCAAGAAACACCAUCCGUUGGGUUUUAAAUCUGGUCCUCAGCUGCUGUUUCCAAUUCCUGGCGUUGCCGUUAAAUCCUAGCUCCAGCAUAAUUCCCCGAUUGACAGUCUCAUGUCAAGGCCAAAAAGAAGCACACGGAACUAUCAGGUCUCUAGCCUCCGUGUCAUAGGACAAGGUUCCCUGAAGAAACCAAUGACUGAACCCACUUGCUACCCAUCCUGAGCAGAGACGGACACCAUGAAAUCUCCCUUGUCGGUUUUAAAGGAUGUGGAUCAAACUGCUUCUUGUGCAUUUUACUUAAUAAUGCAGAUGCCUAAUCUCUCCCUUUGGCUUAAGCCUACCUUGUCUCACUGUGUACUAGGAAAAGGAGGAGAAAAUAAAAGAAAAAGCC